rnacentral:misc_RNA from 1 species
UUGAGGUUUGUGCACAACAUCACUAUGCUUUAAAAUUCAUUGAUAAAGUGAAUGAAAUAUGUAUUUUACUUUUGCUUUGAAUUGUUGAAAGUUUAUUUGUGACAUUAUUUAUGAUGUUUUGAUUUAAACUGUGAAAGCUAUUGUGUAUAUUUGAAAUAGCAAUGUUUAGCAAAUUGUUAAGAUAAGUUUUGAAAUCACAGUGUCAUGAGUAUAUAUUUGAACACCUCACUAGC